rnacentral:rRNA from 1 species
AUUUUGGACAAUGGGGGAAACCCUGAUCCAGCCAUCCCGCGUGUAUGAUGAAGGCCUUCGGGUUGUAUAGUACUUUUGGCUGAGAAGAAAAGGUAUCUCCUACUACGAGAUACUUAUGACGGUAUCUGCAGAUUAAGCACCGGCUAACUACGUGCCAGCAGCCGCGGUAAUACGGAGUGUGCAAGCGUUAAACGGAAUUAUUGGGCGUAAAGCGUGUGUAGGCGGUUCGGAAAGAAAGAUGUGAAAACCGAGGGCUCAACCUUGGAACUGCAUUUUUAACUGCCGAGCUAGAGUAUGGCAGAGGGGGGUAGAAAUCCACGUGUAGAAGUGAAAUGCGUAGAUAUGUGGAGGAAUACCGAUGGCGAAGGCAGCCCCCUGGGAUAAUACUGACGCUCAGACACGAAAGCGUGGGGAGCAAACAGG